rnacentral:tRNA from 1 species
UCUUGUAAAGUUAAUAAUACAAUUAGUUUCGACCUAAAAAAUUGGGCACAACAUGGCCCUGCAAGAU